rnacentral:rRNA from 1 species
AGAGUUUGAUCCUGGCUCAGGAUGAACGCUAGCGACAGGCUUAACACAUGCAAGUCGAGGGGCAGCGGUGGUGAAGGCUUGCCUUUACCAGCCGGCGACCGGCGCACGGGUGAGUAACACGUAUGCAACCUGCCUGCCACAGCCGGAUAAUCGGGAGAAAUUCCGUCUAAUACGGCAUAAUGCAUCGACGGGACAUCCUGUUGGUGCCAAAGGUUGAUUCCGGUGGCGGAUGGGCAUGCGUCGCAUUAGUUAGUUGGCGGGGUAACGGCCCACCGUGGCGACGAUGCGUAGGGGUUCUGAGAGGAAGGCCCCCCACACUGGUACUGAGACACGGACCAGACUCCUACGGGAGGCAGCAGUGAGGAAUAUUGGUCAAUGGCCGAGAGGCUGAACCAGCCAAGUCGCGUGAGGGAAGAAUGUCCUAAGGAUUGUAAACCUCUUUUGUCGGGGAGCAAAAAGGCUCUGCGGAGUCGUAUUGAGAGUACCCGAAGAAAAAGCAUCGGCUAACUCCGUGCCAGCAGCCGCGGUAAUACGGAGGAUGCGAGCGUUAUCCGGAUUUAUUGGGUUUAAAGGGUGCGCAGGCGGCGUGUCAAGCCAGCCGUAAAAUAGCGGGGCUCAACCCCCGUGGAGCCGUUUGAACUGCCGCGCUUGAGUUCAGGCGAGGUAGGCGAAAUUCUUGGUGGAGCGGAGAAAUGCAUAAAAUAUUCACAAAAAACUCCCGAUUGGCGAAAAGGCAGCUUACCCGUUUGCGACUGCCGCUCAGGCACGAAAAGUGUGGGUAUCGAACAGGAUUAGAUACCCUGGUAGUCCACACAGUAAACGAUGAGCGCUAGGUGUCCGGGUCGAAUGAGGCUUGGGUGCCCGAGCGAAAGCGUUAAGCGCUCCACCUGGGGAGUACGCCGGCAACGGUGAAACUCAAAGGAAUUGACGGGGGCCCGCACAAGCGGAGGAACAUGUGGUUUAAUUCGAUGAUACGCGAGGAACCUUACCCGGGCUCAAACGACUCAGGAAUAUAUUGGAAACGAUGUAGCCAGCAAUGGUCUGAGUCGAGGUGCUGCAUGGUUGUCGUCAGCUCGUGCCGUGAGGUGUCGGCUUAAGUGCCAUAACGAGCGCAGCCCCUACCGCCAGUUGCCAACGGGUAAAGCCGGGAACUCUGGCGGGACUGCCGGCGCAAGCUGCGAGGAAGGCGGGGAUGACGUCAAAUCAGCACGGCCCUUACGUCCGGGGCGACACACGUGUUACAAUGGCAGGUACAGCGGGAAGCCACCUGGUGACAGGGAGCGGAACCCGAAAGCCUGUCUCAGUUCGGAUUGGAGUCUGCAACUCGACUCCAUGAAGCUGGAUUCGCUAGUAAUCGCGCAUCAGCCAUGGCGCGGUGAAUACGUUCCCGGGCCUUGCACACACCGCCCGUCA